ACGAUCGGUAGCCGGACUGAGAGGUUGAACGGCCACAUUGGGACUGAGACACGGCCCAGACUCCUACGGGAGGCAGCAGUGGGGAAUAUUGCACAAUGGGGGAAACCCUGAUGCAGCGACGCCGCGUGGAGGAAGAAGGUCUUCGGAUUGUAAACUCCUGUUGUUGAGGAAGAUAAUGACGGUACUCAACAAGGAAGUGACGGCUAACUACGUGCCAGCAGCCGCGGUAAAACGUAGGUCACAAGCGUUGUCCGGAAUUACUGGGUGUAAAGGGAGCGCAGGCGGGAAAGCAAGUUGGAAGUGAAAUCCAUGGGCUCAACCCAUGAACUGCUUUCAAAACUGUUUUUCUUGAGUAGUGCAGAGGUAGGCGGAAUUCCCGGUGUAGCGGUGGAAUGCGUAGAUAUCGGGAGGAACACCAGUGGCGAAGGCGGCCUACUGGGCACCAACUGACGCUGAGGCUCGAAAGUGUGGGUAGCAAACAGGAUUAGAUACCCUGGUAGUCCACACUGUAAACGAUGAUUACUAGGUGUUGGAGGAUUGACCCCUUCAGUGCCGCAGUUAACACAAUAAGUAAUCCACCUGGGGAGUACGACCGCAGGUUGAAACUCAAAGGAAUUGACGGGGGCCCGCACAAGCAGUGGAGUAUGUGGUUUAAUUC
rnacentral:rRNA from 1 species